rnacentral:tRNA from 1 species
UCCCUUGUGGCUCAGAUGGGAAAGCGUCUGCCUGCAAUGCAGGCGACACAGGUUCGAUCCCUGGGUUGGGAA